UUACGGCCAUAUCAGGUUGAAAAACCGGUUCCCGUACGAUCACGGAAGGUAAGCAACGUCGAGCCUAGUCAAUACCUAGAUGGGUAACCGCUUGUGAAUACCAGGUGCUGUAAG
rnacentral:rRNA from 1 species